rnacentral:rRNA from 1 species
UACGUAGGGUGCAAGCGUUAAUCGGAAUUACUGGGCGUAAAGCGUGCGCAGGCGGCUAUGCAAGACAGAUGUGAAAUCCCCGGGCUCAACCUGGGAACUGCAUUUGUGACUGCAUAGCUAGAGUACGGUAGAGGGGGAUGGAAUUCCGCGUGUAGCAGUGAAAUGCGUAGAUAUGCGGAGGAACACCGAUGGCGAAGGCAAUCCCCUGGACCUGUACUGACGCUCAUGCACGAAAGCCGUGGG